CCCAACUCCAUCUCCAAUCUAUGCCAAUUUCAAGUAUUCUGUGAAGUGUAUCUGCAAGAAGAGCCCACUGUUGAUCUCUUUAAAGAUUUCUUUUAUAUCAACCAUCAAACUGAAAUGACAGACGUGCCCAGUCUAGAGCUUCGAGGUGUUUCCAUCCAGAGGCGGAGAGAUGUAACCUUCCCCUCAGCCGUACUGCCCAGCCAUCCCAAGGGCUGGAACUGCACUUGGUUUUAUUUCAAAAACACUGCUCCGGCUGAAGAAAACCCCCUGCCGGGUUACCGCCCAUACCGGCGGAGUACUAUCAGCGAGCUUCCUGGUCGAUUAACCGCCACAGAUCGCGCUCAGUAUGCGCACAUAUUUUCAAAGAUAAGGGCUUUAAUAGCCAACGGCUUAACCGGAUUCGACUUGACCCGCUGCUGGGUCUCAUGGAGGAUUUUACCGCUGAGCUGGCGCAGCGGCUUAAUGUGCCAAUACACUGGUGAUGUGAAG
rnacentral:rRNA from 1 species